rnacentral:sRNA from 1 species
UCGAACCCUGCAAGGCAGAACGACCUGUGAACAUGUAAACACAACUGGGUGACAGGGAUAUGGACCUUGGUCCUGAUCUCCUAACCCUUCCUGAUGUGAAUUCGUGGUGUCUUUUUUGGGCAUCAUGGAUUCCGUUGGACCAUAACAAAACCCCGGCACGGCAUGUGCCAAGGAAAACAAAAAUGAGAAGGAUGCGUCCUGUAACGCCCCGUUAGCGGUGUGCGUGCUGGUCCUGUCCUCCUUGGAAUCACAAACGACUCUCGGCAACGGAUAUCUCGGCUCACGCAUCGAUGAAGAACGUAGCAAAAUGCGAUACUUGGUGUGAAUUGCAGAAUCCCGUGAACCAUCGAGUUUUUGAACGCAAGUUGCGCCCGAAGCCAUCCGGUUGAGGGCACGUCUGCCUGGGCGUCACGCAUCGCGUCGCCUCCCAUCAUACCUAUCCAACGGGUUGGCAUGGUGUUGGGGGCGGGAUAUUGGCCUCCCGUGCUUGUGAUUCGGUUGGCCUAAAUAGGAGUUCCCUUUGGCGGACACACGACUAGUGGUGGUUGAAUAGACCGUUGUCUUGUGUUGUGUGUCGUGAGCUGUGAAGGGAAGCKCUCAUCAAAGACCCCAUUGUAUUGUCUACGGAUGAUGCUUCGAC